AUUGAACGCUGGCGGCAGGCCUAACACAUGCAAGUCGAACGAGCGGCGGACGGGUGAGUAAUGUCUGGGAAACUGCCUGAUGGAGGGGGAUAACUACUGGAAACGGUAGCUAAUACCGCAUACCAUCGGAUGUGCCCAGAUGGGAUUAGCUAGUAGGUGGGGUAACGGCUCACCUAGGCGACGAUCCCUAGCUGGUCUGAGAGGAUGACCAGCAACACUGGGACUGAGACACGGCCCAGACUCCUACGGGAGGCAGCAGUGGGGAAUAUUGCACAAUGGGCGCAAGCCUGAUGCAGCCAUGCCGCGUGUAUGAAGAAGGCCUUCGGGUUGUAAAGUACUUUCAGCGGGGAGGCGUUACUGGCAGAAGAAGCACCGGCUAACUCCGUGCCAGCAGCCGCGGUAAUUC
rnacentral:rRNA from 1 species